CAUGUGUAUUAAGUGUACAUUAAUAAUUUUAACCAAUUCAAGUUGAAGAUGUAAAGAUCCCAAACCUUGAAGAAAAUGAAUUUAUAAUUUAAAUGCGGAAGGGAAUAAUAAUGUUAGGAUUUACAUUCUUUACACGGUAAAUUAGAAUGCCCAAUAAGGUUACAGAAAUGUCUCUACUGCAGUGACUCGUAAAAAGAAGCAAAUAAAUGAUUUAAAGCAAAUACAUAAAUGUCAUAGGGGUUAACCUCCACCAGCUCUUGAAGGAGUCCGAGAGGUAAACUACUCACAAUCAUUUUACUGUUCGGGAUUUGGAUCCUGAUUCUUUUUAUCUAAAAUGGUUAAUAGAAUAAUGAGCUAAACUAGUCCAGUAAGAAUAUCAUACUAAUCACUUAUACGGAAAAUAAAGGUCGGUAAAAAUCACAGAACAACUAAUGGAGCUCUUAAUUUAAGUAAAUUCGUUUAUCAUGAAGAAAACCAUUUAUUUCAUACUUACCGUCAUGAGUUUUCCACAAAUCAAUAUAUGAAGACAAAUAUGUAUACAGCUUUUCAAUUUCACGCAUAAGUGAACAAAAAAUGACAAUUUUCCUUUCUUACCUACUUACUAGUACCCCUAGAGAUCCAUAAGGAUGUCCCUCUACACGUGAACCAGAUAUCUAAAUUUAUCAAUUAAUUGGCCGUGUAAUACCCUUAAUUACAUGCUGGUGGGAGAGGUAGGCCGCUGGUGGCAACUCAAGCUAGCUACCCUGCAUGUUCCAGUCACUUGGUCCAGAAGGACAUAAGUGUAUCAGAAUAUGCUCGAAAGUUCCUAGAGUUGGGCUGGUAUUCCCCUGAGAGCAUGAUGGAUGAAGGCGGGAAUGCAAGAAAGUUCGAGUGGGGUCUCCGUCCUGAGAUCAGAUAGCAGUUGUAUGUGUUCAAGCUCAGUACUUACUCGACUAUUCUAGCCAAUGCACAAUUAAUGGAGAGGAACCUUCAUAUUUUCCCUCCAGCAGUAGGGAACCUUAGGCCAUUGGCUCCACACUGCAGACCAGCACCUACUACACCUGUUCAAUAAAACAAGAGACCUAGACCGAUGAUUCAGGCUCCCCCUCAGGUUCCAGCAACAGGAUACGGUAGGACCUGUCAGCACUGUGGCAAGGAUAAUGGAGACCAAAACCUACUAUCGCCUUAACAACACUUGUCGCAUAUGUGAUAGAGCCCAAUAUUAUGUAAGGGAGUGCCCGAAGAAUCAGAACCAAGACAAACAUCCUAUCCAGGGCAGGGCUUACAACCUCACUCAGCAGGAUAUAGAAGCCAACCCAGACGUGGUUAAGGGUACGUACACUAUUUGUAACCAUCUUGCACAUGUUUUGAUUGAUACUAGUGCCUCGUAUUCAUUUGUUU
rnacentral:lncRNA from 1 species